rnacentral:rRNA from 1 species
AUAAAUGAAAGCUUGCUUUCAUAUAUAUUAGUGGCGAAAGGGUGAGUAACGCGUGGGCAACCUGCCCAGUACCGGGGAAUAACAGCGGGAAACCGUUGCUAAUACCGCAUAACAUCUUUUUGAGACAUCUCACAAAGAUCAAAGGAGAAAUCCAGUACUGGAUGGGCCCGCGUCCGAUUAGCUAGUUGGUGGGGUAAUGGCCUACCAAGGCGACGAUCGGUAGCCGAACUGAGAGGUUGAUCGGCCACAUUGGGACUGAGACACGGCCCAGACUCCUACGGGAGGCAGCAGUGGGGAAUAUUGCACAAUGGACGAAAGUCUGAUGCAGCAACGCCGCGUGAAGGAAGAAGGUCUUCGGAUUGUAAACUUCUUUGAUCAGGGAAGAAUAAUGACAGUACCUGAAGAACAAGCCACGGCUAACUACGUGCCAGCAGCCGCGGUAAUACGUAGGUGGCGAGCGUUGUCCGGAAUUACUGGGUGUAAAGGGCGCGUAGGCGGGAAUGCAAGUCAGAUGUGAAAUACCAAGGCUUAACCUUGGAACUGCAUCUGAAACUGUGUUUCUUGAGUGUCGGAGAGGAAAGCGGAAUUCCCCGUGUAGCGGUGAAAUGCGUAGAUAUGGGGAGGAACACCGGUGGCGAAGGCGGCUUUCUGGACGAUAACUGACGCUGAGGCGCGAAAGCGUGGGUAGCAAACAGGAUUAGAUACCCUGGUAGUCCACGCUGUAAACGAUGGAUACUAGGUGUAGGAGGUAUCGACCCCUCCUGUGCCGCAGUUAACACAAUAAGUAUCCCACCUGGGGAGUACGGCCGNCAGGCUGAAACUCAAAGGAAUUGACGGGGGC